rnacentral:rRNA from 1 species
AUUGAACGCUGGCGGCAUGCCUUACACAUGCAAGUCGAACGGCAGCACGGAGCUUGCUCUGGUGGCGAGUGGCGAACGGGUGAGUAAUAUAUCGGAACGUACCCUGGAGUGGGGGAUAACGUAGCGAAAGUCACGCUAAUACCGCAUACGAUCUACGGAUGAAAGUGGGGGAUCGCAAGACCUCAUGCUCGUGGAGCGGCCGAUAUCUGAUUAGCUAGUUGGUAGGGUAAAAGCCUACCAAGGCAUCGAUCAGUAGCUGGUCUGAGAGGACGACCAGCCACACUGGAACUGAGACACGGUCCAGACUCCUACGGGAGGCAGCAGUGGGGAAUUUUGGACAAUGGGCGAAAGCCUGAUCCAGCAAUGCCGCGUGAGUGAAGAAGGCCUUCGGGUUGUAAAGCUCUUUCAGCCGGGAAGAAAACGCAUGGGUUAAUACCCUGUGUGGAUGACGGUACCGGAAUAAGAAGCACCGGCUAACUACGUGCCAGCAGCCGCGGUAAUACGUAGGGUGCAAGCGUUAAUCGGAAUUACUGGGCGUAAAGCGUGCGCAGGCGGUUUUGUAAGUCUGAUGUGAAAUCCCCGGGCUCAACCUGGGAAUUGCAUUGGAGACUGCAAGGCUAGAAUCUGGCAGAGGGGGGUAGAAUUCCACGUGUAGCAGAGAAAUGCGUAGAUAUGUGGAGGAACACCGAUGGCGAAGGCAGCCCCCUGGGUCAAGAUUGACGCUCAUGCACGAAAGCGUGGGGAGCAAACAGGAUUAGAUACCCUGGUAGUCCACGCCCUAAACGAUGUCUACUAGUUGUCGGGUCUUAAUUGACUUGGUAACGCAGCUAACGCGUGAA